GACGAACGCUGGCGGCGUGCCUAAUACAUGCAAGUAGAACGCUGAAGAGAGGAGCUUGCUCUUCUUGGAUGAGUUGCGAACGGGUGAGUAACGCGUAGGUAACCUGCCUUGUAGCGGGGGAUAACUAUUGGAAACGAUAGCUAAUACCGCAUAACAAUGGAUGACACAUGUCAUUUAUUUGAAAGGGGCAAUUGCUCCACUACAAGAUGGACCUGCGUUGUAUUAGCUAGUAGGUGAGGUAACGGCUCACCUAGGCGACGAUACAUAGCCGACCUGAGAGGGUGGUCGGCCACACUGGGACUGAGACACGGCCCAGACUCCUACGGGAGGCAGCAGUAGGGAAUCUUCGGCAAUGGGGGCAACCCUGACCGAGCAACGCCGCGUGAGUGAAGAAGGUUUUCGGAUCGUAAAGCUCUGUUGUAAGUCAAGAACGAGUGUGAGAGUGGAAAGUUCACACUGUGACGGUAGCUUACCAGAAAGGGACGGCUAACUACGUG
rnacentral:rRNA from 1 species